rnacentral:tRNA from 2 species
GCCGCUAUAGUUAAACGGUAUAACGGGUGAUUUGUAAUCUCCAAUUCAGGGUUCGAUUCCUUGUGGCGGCACCA